AUGCAGUCGAGCGGUAACAGAUCCAGCUUGCUGGAUGCUGACGAGCGGCGGACGGGUGAGUAAUGCAUAGGAAUCUGCCCGAUAGUGGGGGAUAACCUGGGGAAACCCAGGCUAAUACCGCAUACGUCCUACGGGAGAAAGGGGGCUCCGGCUCCCGCUAUGGGAUGAGCCUAUGUCGGAUUAGCUAGUUGGUGAGGUAACGGCUCACCAAGGCCACGAUCCGUAGCUGGUCUGAGAGGAUGAUCAGCCACAUCGGGACUGAGACACGGCCCGAACUCCUACGGGAGGCAGCAGUGGGGAAUAUUGGACAAUGGGGGAAACCCUGAUCCAGCCAUGCCGCGUGUGUGAAGAAGGCCCUCGGGUUGUAAAGCACUUUCAGCGAGGAAGAACGCCUAGCGGUUAAUACCCGCUAGGAAAGACAUCACUCGCAGAAGAAGCACCGGCUAACUCCGUGCCAGCAGCCGCGGUAAUACGGAGGGUGCAAGCGUUAAUCGGAAUUACUGGGCGUAAAGCGCGCGUAGGUGGCUUGAUAAGCCGGUUGUGAAAGCCCCGGGCUCAACCUGGGAACGGCAUCCGGAACUGUCAAGCUAGAGUGCAGGAGAGGAAGGUAGAAUUCCCGGUGUAGCGGUGAAAUGCGUAGAGAUCGGGAGGAAUACCAGUGGCGAAGGCGGCCUUCUGGACUGACACUGACACUGAGGUGCGAAAGCGUGGGUAGCAAACAGGAUUAGAUACCCUGGUAGUCCACGCCGUAAACGAUGUCGACCAGCCGUUGGGUGCCUAGCGCACUUUGUGGCGAAGUUAACGCGAUAAGUCGACCGCCUGGGGAGUACGGCCGCAAGGUUAAAACUCAAAUGAAUUGACGGGGCCCGCACAAGCGGUGGAGCAUGUGGUUUAAUUCGAUGCAACGCGAAGAACCUUACCUACUCUUGACAUCCUGCGAAUUUGGUAGAGAUACCUUAGUGCCUUCGGGAACGCAGAGACAGGUGCUGCAUGGCUGUCGUCAGCU
rnacentral:rRNA from 1 species